UACGAAGGGGGCUAGCGUUGCUCGGAAUGACUGGGCGUAAAGGGCGCGUAGGCGGCUUGCACCGUCAGAUGUGAAAUUCCUGGGCUUAACCUGGGGGCUGCAUUUGAUACGUGUGGGCUUGAGUGCGGAAGAGGGUCGUGGAAUUCCCAGUGUAGAGGUGAAAUUCGUAGAUAUUGGGAGGAACACCAGUGGCGAAGGCGGCUCACUGGACCGGAACUGACGCUGAUGCGCGAAAGCGUGGGGAGCAAACGGG
rnacentral:rRNA from 1 species